GAUGAACGCUGGCGGCGUGCCUAAUACAUGCAAGUCGAGCGAACGGACGAGAAGCUUGCUUCUCUGAUGUUAGCGGCGGACAGGUGAGUAACACGUGGAUAACCUACCUAUAAGACUGGGAUAACUUCGGGAAACCGGAGCUAAUACCGGAUAAUAUUUUGAACCGCAUGGUUCAAAAGUGAAAGACGGUCUUGCUGUCACUUAUAGAUGGAUCCGCGCUGCAUUAGCUAGUUGGUAAGGUAACGGCUUACCAAGGCAACGAUGCAUAGCCGACCUGAGAGGGUGAUCGGCCACACUGGAACUGAGACACGGUCCAGACUCCUACGGGAGGCAGCAGUAGGGAAUCUUCCGCAAUGGGCGAAAGCCUGACGGAGCAACGCCGCGUGAGUGAUGAAGGUCUUCGGAUCGUAAAACUCUGUUAUUAGGGAAGAACAUAUGUGUAAGUAACUGUGCACAUCUUGACGGUACCUAAUCAGAAAGCCACGGCUAACUACGUGCCAGCAGCCGCGGUAAUACGUAGGUGGCAAGCGUUAUCCGGAAUUAUUGGGCGUAAAGCGCGCGUAGGCGGUUUUUUAAGUCUGAUGUGAAAGCCCACGGCUCAACCGUGGAGGGUCAUUGGAAACUGGAAAACUUGAGUGCAGAAGAGGAAAGUGGAAUUCCAUGUGUAGCGGUGAAAUGCGCAGGGAUAUGGAGGAACACCAGUGGCGAAGGCGACUUUCUGGUCUGUAACUGACGCUGAUGUGCGAAAGCGUGGGGAUCAAACAGGAUUAGAUACCCUGGUAGUCCACGCCGUAAACGAUGAGUGCUAAGUGUUAGGGGGUUUCCGCCCCUUAGUGCUGCAGCUAACGCAUUAAGCACUCCGCCUGGGGAGUACGACCGCAAGGUUGAAACUCAAAGGAAUUGACGGGGACCCGCACAAGCGGUGGAGCAUGUGGUUUAAUUCGAAGCAACGCGAAGAACCUUACCAAAUCUUGACAUCCUUUGACAACUCUAGAGAUAGAGCUUUCCCCUUCGGGGGACAAAGUGACAGGUGGUGCAUGGUUGUCGUCAGCUCGUGUCGUGAGAUGUUGGGUUAAGUCCCGCAACGAGCGCAACCCUUAAGCUUAGUUGCCAUCAUUAAGUUGGGCACUCUAAGUUGACUGCCGGUGACAAACCGGAGGAAGGUGGGGAUGACGUCAAAUCAUCAUGCCCCUUAUGAUUUGGGCUACACACGUGCUACAAUGGACAAUACAAAGGGCAGCGAAACCGUGAGGUCAAGCAAAUCCCAUAAAGUUGUUCUCAGUUCGGAUUGUAGUCUGCAACUCGACUACAUGAAGCUGGAAUCGCUAGUAAUCGUAGAUCAGCAUGCUACGGUGAAUACGUUCCCGGGUCU
rnacentral:rRNA from 1 species